AUACAAAAUCGACUUUUGUGAGACAAAAUUGACUUUUGUGAGACAAAAUUGACAAAUUGAAUUUUGUCUCACAAAAUUGAGUUUUGUCUCACAAAAGUCAAUUUUGUGUCACAAAAGUCAAUUUUGUGUCACAAGAGU
rnacentral:sRNA from 1 species